AAGCAGUACGGUGUACUCCGUCCAAGCGAAACGAUGUUCUGGACUUGGACUCUAUCCUUAAUAAUAAGAACAAUCCGAUAGAUUUUUUCCGGUGUCAAUAAGAAUAGUCCCAAGGUAAUAAGCUCGCAGUGUGUCAAAACUUCGUAAACUUGGGAACGCCAACCUUGCUCAUAUCAAGCCAUUUAAAGUAUAUCUCGGACUAUAAAAUUCCACAUUUUUACGAGAAGAACGAAGUCUGAGUUAGUGCUUACCACGUUUUUUUCUUCGAUACAGCCUUUACUUGAACCGGAGAUAUAUUCGUGGUGUAAUCACGAUUGCCAAACCUUCUUCCACCUGAACAACAGUCGCCGCUUUACUGAACAAGGGUACCGUUCAGCCCAUAAUGCGGCUGUGGUAUAUGGUUAUAACCAACAAUUAUACCAAUAACAGGGCCUAGAUUCAAAUCGUAUAUCGGAUGCAUCCGCAACUAAGCCGUUUUUGCGAAAGUGUCUAAGAUGUAUACGAAGUUUACGAACUGUAUAGCCUCCUUUUCGAAAGCGUUUAUAACAGUCUAUUUUCUAGCAAGUAUUCUUCACCGACUCUAAAGCCCAAGGAGA
rnacentral:lncRNA from 1 species